CCUACGGGAGGCAGCAGUGAGGAAUAUUGGUCAAUGGACGCAAGUCUGAACCAGCCAUGCCGCGUGCAGGAAGACGGCUCUAUGAGUUGUAAACUGCUUUUGUACGAGGGUAAAAGCAGAUACGCGUAUCUGUCUGAAAGUAGCGUACGAAUAAGGAUCGGCUAACUCCGUGCCAGCAGCCGCGGUAAUACGGAGGAUUCAAGCGUUAUCCGGAUUUAUUGGGUUUAAAGGGUGCGUAGGCGGGCGGCUAAGUUAGAGGUGAAAUCCCGAGGCUCAACUUCGGAAUUGCCUCUGAUACUGUUCGGCUAGAUCGUAGUUGCGGUAGGCGUAAUGUAUUGUGUAGCGGUGAAAUGCUUA
rnacentral:rRNA from 1 species